UACGUAGGGUGCGAGCGUUGUCCGGAAUUAUUGGGCGUAAAGGGCUCGUAGGCGGUCUGUCGCGUCGGGGGUGAAAACUCAGGGCUUAACCCUGAGCCUGCUUCCGAUACGGGCAGACUAGAGGUAUGGAGGGGAGAACGGAAUUCCUGGUGUAGCGGUGAAAUGCGCAGAUAUCAGGAGGAACACCGGUGGCGAAGGCGGUUCUCUGGGCAUUACCUGACGCUGAGGAGCGAAAGUGUGGGGAGCGAACAGG
rnacentral:rRNA from 1 species